GACGAACGCUGGCGGCGUGCCUAAUACAUGCAAGUAGAACGCUGAAGGAGGAGCUUGCUUCUCUGGAUGAGUUGCGAACGGGUGAGUAACGCGUAGGUAACCUGCCUGGUAGCGGGGGAUAACUAUUGGAAACGAUAGCUAAUACCGCAUAACAGUAGAUAUCGCAUGAUAUCUACUUGAAAGGUGCAAUUGCAUCACUACCAGAUGGACCUGCGUUGUAUUAGCUAGUUGGUGAGGUAACGGCUCACCAAGGCGACGAUACAUAGCCGACCUGAGAGGGUGAUCGGCCACACUGGGACUUAGACACGGCCCAGACUCCUACGGGAGGCAGCAGUAGGGAAUCUUCGGCAAUGGACGGAAGUCUGACCGAGCAACGCCGCGUGAGUGAAGAAGGUUUUCGGAUCGUAAAGCUCUGUUGUAAGAGAAGAACGAGUGUGAGAGUGGAAAGUUCACACUGUGACGGUAUCUUACCAGAAAGGGACGGCUAACUACGUG
rnacentral:rRNA from 1 species